rnacentral:sRNA from 1 species
AUCUCUCAGCCCUUUCUUGUCUAGAUCAUAUUAUCUUACCUUGAUAAACCUUCCCAAAUUUUCUGGUCUUCUAUCUCGUUAAAUGCUUUUGUUUUUUUCCUCUCAACAAACCUGCCAUUCUCUGAGACUCCCUUAGGCUGCAGAACGGGACCAAAUCAGCAGUCUGACUCAGACGAAGUGAGAUGGGAGUGCCGAAUGACCUGAGGGCACUGAAUUCACUUGUGGGGGUUACUAGCUCCUUACGCUUUCAUUUCCUCAUGAAUUUAGUCACUUAUCAAAGCUUUACUGAGCCCCUGCUGCACGCCAGGAGCCCUGUGCUGGGGGAGCGGAUCUGUGCAGAGUCUACUGUGAUCUUCUCCAGGAGCACUGGGGAGAAUGGGCAGCUGUUGGGAUGUUGGGAAGUGGUCAGGGGUCUCUGGGAAGAGGUAAUAUGUGGGCUAGGAACACAUUUCCAAGGUGGAGAAGGAGACAAAGCUUGGGAGGAUUCGGCAAGAUGCCACUGCCUCACUGAUUUUGCUCUGGAAGGUCACGGCCACAGGAUUCCAACAGUGCUCCCUCAUAGAUGGAAGAAGUGUGACCCCCCUUCAGGCUUCAGGGGGACUGGUCCUCCUGGAGGAGAUGCUCGCCUUGGGGAAUAAUCACUUUAUUGGUCCACUGUAACUUCAAAGGGGUGAAUGGUACAACCCAUGGCUGAUAAGAAUGUCCUUGUUGGAGCUGAGGUCAUUUCUUCAGGAUUAUAGCCAUCAAAUUAACCAUGGAACCCUGGAAAUCAACAAUUUGCAGGUCUUUCUAAUUGACGUCUUAACUGGAUUAGAAGGUUUCCCAGUCAGCCCAUGACUC